GGCACUAGUACAGACAGGCCACUUGUGUGGUCAUCCUGUGAGGUAUCUCGCCUUUCAUAGUGUUCAUACGAGAACAUACGUUCUCGCUGCGUUUAGUGCAUUCAGAGGUCUUGGAAAGGAUAUCCCACACCGCCUGCUUGCCCAAACCUAGCUAGAAAGCUAAGCAUUCUGAAUUCACUGAAGGGUAACGGUUGUCUUUUGCCCAACAGCAUCUAACCAGUCAUGGCUAUACGGUAUCUUACCAUCCACAUCAGUUUCCUUACGAUCUUAAUCAUCGUUACUUCACUGAUCUUAUUCAGAUAUUAUCAGAAACAACAACUUCAGCCGUUACUGAUGAGAAACUGCGGAGGCACAAUUCACUCAUCGAUAGUUGGCAGCACUUCCAAGGAUGGCGCCUUCUACCGUGCAGCAAACAUCGCUAAGUUUAACGAAGAUUGGGGUAAUAGUCACUGCUUUUUUCACAAUAUUCAGUGAAUUCAUAAGUUAUAAUGAAUACCGCGUAGGCUGGUGGGCGCAUUUCCUCUACCCACACUCAGUAUUUUGCAUUUAUUAAUGUUAAACUGCACUUUUCGUCCCUCUCUCUAUUUUUUCAUGCUAUCUAGAUAAGUCUUCAAAGAAAUUAUAUCUGAAUGAAAAAUUAUUCAUCUACCUAUCUCCGGGUCAUCCAAAAAUUUCCUAAAAUCUACUAAUUCCAUUAAUCAAAUCAUUAAUAUAUUUUAUUUGAAAUAAUAAUGGUCUUAAAACUUAUUCCUGUGGAACCCCACGAAUUACUUGACCUGACUCCAAAUUAUAAAUGUAUACUGUAUUACAACCCUCAGUUGCCUAUCACUUAACCACGAUCCUAUCCAGCCUAACAACAAGUUUCUCUCUAUUUCGUGCCCUCUAACCUUUCUCAAGAGCUUUUUUUAUAUAAAUUGGAAAAACGGCCAAGUGUAAUAUCUGAUUAAAAAGGAGACACCAAUUAUGAUGAUAAGUUAUCAACUUUUGUUAUUUUUUACUUAUUAUUAUUUAUCUAUUUUGCGUGAAGAAUGUAUGAGUAGGUGUGUGUAUGUAGUAUUGUGUGAAGGAAGAGAGUUGUCUUUAGAGGGCAG